AUGUAUUAUGCUUAAUUAAAGUGAAACCAAUAGUUUAGAGUAGAGGCUUAAAACAAACUGUUUCUCCAUGUUUAUUUUGCUCCUAGUCUGGUCACUCUUCAUCUAGAGAGGAAUUGCACUUGUAGCAUUUACAAUUAUAAAAGGAGUUUCAGCUGUCCUUGUACAAUUUACUUUAAUUUUAGCUAUAUUCAUGGGAUGUUAACUAUAAAAGGAAAGACUGAAGAGUCGGUGACUAGGAUUUUCCAAAUUUGGGAUGUUUGUGUUAACUAUAGGAAACACAACUUGAUACUCACCAUAAACACAUUGAAACAAAUUUGGUGACAAAGAGUUGCUAUACAUGUUGUCUUCUCAUAUAUCUUUUUGAUGAUGCUUUUCUUCUUCUUCAUGUAUAAUUUGUUAAAUUUCAUCUGUCAGUGCUUUUGUUAGACUUGCACUCUUGUUCACUUAGCUAUCAGAUGUCGACAUUUAUCUUGAUGAUAGAAUCACUAUAAGCAUUUCAUUUAUGCAUAUUCUGAAGCUUCAAAGAGUGUUAUGCAGAUUUUAUGGGAAAUUAAAACAUCUAGGUACACUGGUUCUGGAACCACAUGGAUAAAGGAGGGGACCUCUGCCUUUGAAUCGUUGACCCAUUAUGCCAGAAUCUCUUAAAUGAUUUAUCUACGUGUUGCCUUCCUUUUAGUUUUGUUGUAGUAUAGUCAUUUUAUUUUAUAAGCAUAUGUCAUUCAAGGUGACCUUUAAAGAGGAUGCUUAUGAAAGGGAAAACUUUCCGGCUACAAAAUAUCCUUACAGGCAUUAGAUAUGUAAUCUUUAUAUACAUGGAGAUGCACUUUACAGGAGCAUUGCAAGUGUUUGAUGGAUAUCAACUGAACUUGCUGCCUUGUCUAGUCAGCAACAUGGUGCCUCGUUUCAAAACCAAAGCAGCAACGAUAAUUUGUUCCAGCAAAAUCUAGGCAUAUCCAAUGAUCUCUCAAGUGAUCCCAACCAACAUUCACACAGGUGCCAUUUACCAAAUUUAUAUAUUGGAAUGGAAUACAUGCGGACACAAUUUUAAACUUGCUGGAUAGGUGAAAUUCAUGCUUCUUGACAUCAUGCAGUUGUGAUUUUAUAAUGCUCAACUUUAGGGAACUAUUCAGGACCACCUACAAAUAUUCAACAUUAAGAUGAAGGCAAAAAUGAAAUCACAUCAGAUGCCUGAGCAGGUUGUGUUUUGGAAGUGGAUUAUGCCAAAGAUGUUGGGGCUGGUCACACAAACAUCAGUGUAUCAUUGGUCAGUAGAAGGUAAUAUUGCAUUUUUCUUUUUGUACAAGGGUUGUCUCCUGAACUUCAUUCAGUUUCUCGCUUUUCUUUUUUGAUAGAUCAAUUUAUAUUUCAGUUAGGAACUUCCAUUACAUUGUUGAAUUGCUGGCUUUAAAAUUUACAAAACUUAUUUGUAGGUGAUUCAGAGUGUAUAAAGAUUUGUUUCAGAUAUUUUGAUAUGUAACCAUGUGCUAAUAUUUGUUAUAUGUUCUGUACUUUAAUUCACAGAAACUGUUCAAUUAAGGUUUGAUUUAUUUCA